GAUGAACGCUAGCUACAGGCUUAACACAUGCAAGUCGAGGGGAAACGACAUCGAAAGCUUGCUUUUGAUGGGCGUCGACCGGCGCACGGGUGAGUAACGCGUAUCCAUCCUGCCCAUCACUUGGGGAUAACCUUGCGAAAGUAAGACUAAUACCCAAUGAUAUCUCUAGAAGACAUCUGAAAGAGAUUACAGAUUUAUCGGUGAUGGAUGGGGAUGCGUCUGAUUAGCUUGUUGGCGGGGUAACGGCCCACCAAGGCAACGAUCAGUAGGGGUUCUGAGAGGAAGGUCCCCGACAUGGGAACUGAGACACGGACCAAACUCCUACGGGAGACAGCAGUGAGGAAUAUUGGUCAAUGGGCGAGAGCCUGAGCCAGCCAAGUAGCGUGCAGGAAGGCGGCCCUAUGGAUUGUAAACUGCUUUUAUAAGAGAAUAAAGUGAGAGUCGUGACUCUUUUUGUAGGUACCUUAUGAAUAAGGACCGGCUAAUUCCGUG
rnacentral:rRNA from 1 species